GCCUUAGCAUCACUCUUAGUUACCAUUGUUUUGGGUUCCGGGUUUAGCACGUCAUUCCCAUUGUUUUGGGUUUCUGGUUUAGCACGUCACUCCCAUUGUUUUGGGUUCUGGUUUUAGCACGUCACUCCCAUUGUUUUGGGUUUCUGGUUUAGCAGGAUGCUCCCAUUGUUUUCAGUUUCUGAUUUAGCAGGAUGCUCCCAUUGUUUUGGGUUUCUGGUUUAGCAGGUCACUCCCAUUGUUUUGGGUUCCAGUUUUAGCACGUCACUCCCGUUGUUUUGGGUUCCAGUUUUAGCACGUCACUCCCAUUGUUUUGGGUUUCUGGUUUAGCAGGUCACUCCCAUUGUUUUCGGUUUCUGGGUUAGCAGGAUGCUCCCAUUGUUUUGGGUUUCUGGUUUAGCAGGUCACUCCCAUUGUUUUGGGUUCCGGUUUUAGCACAUCACUCCCAUUGUUUUCAUUUCCGGUUUUAGCACAUCACUCCCAUUGUUUUGGGUUCCAGUUUUAGCAAGUCACUCCCAUUGUUUUGGGUUCUGAUUUUAGUGCACGUCACCCCCAUUGUUUUGGGUUCCAGUUUUAGUAUAUCACUCUCAUUGUUUUGGGUUUCUGGUUUAGCACGUCACUCCCAUUGUUUUGGGUUUCUGGUUUCGCAGGUCACUCCCAUUGUUUUGGGUUCUGGUUUAAGCACAUCACUCCCAUUGUUUUCAUUUCCGCUUUUGGCACGUCACUCCCAUUGUUUUGGGUUCCAGUUUUAGCAAGUCACUCCCAUUGUUUUGGGUUUCUUGUUUAGCACGUCACUCCCAUUGUUUUGGGUUCUGGUUUUAGUGCACGUCACUCCCAUUGUUUUGGGUUCCCGUUUUAGUACAUCACUCCCAUUGUUUUGGGUUUCUGGUUUAGCAUGUCACCCCCAUUGUUUUGGGUUUCCGGUUUAGCAUGUCACUCAUAGGUUAUGGUGUCCUUACGGUUGCCCUUUUUUUUUAAUCUCUUGUCAUUCCAGUUGAAGAGAUACCAUUUGAUAUUUUAGAGAUGCCUGCAUGCAAACUCUUAAAACAUUUGACCAUAGGAGUUUUAGCCAAUUCAGAGGCCUUGCUCCCUACAAUUUGGAACAUUCCUUUGGAUUUGACCAAGUCAGGAAGAGAUGGGAGAAAAGUGAAACAACAACAAUAAAACCCCAAGCAUAAACAAACAAAGAGUUAAGCAAAACAACAAAUGCACAAUUCAUAUGAUUACUGAGUGUUCUAAUGGUAAGGAGAAAUUAAAAGCAGA
rnacentral:lncRNA from 10 species